GUGGAGGAUGAUUUUUGACAGGACUGUAUAUUUGAUCCGGCAUGCUCUCCAACUUCGCUGUCACUUCUUCGGAUCUAUAUUUUACCGAAAUAAUUCAACAAUAUUCGAAAGUUAUAGUAUGAUACACCGCCGUCCUGGGCGUGCCGGGCACCAUACUCUUCAUAAGGAUAAUGUGCUAAAUAGUCACCGUGGCCGUCGGAAUGAUCCGAAUCUUCAUUAUCCGGCUCGUGUCCCGAGAAAGAGUGCUCAGAUUGACUGUCGGAAUGAAACGAAUCCGAAUCCAGAUCUCCAAGUCCAUAAGAACCCGACAGUUUUGCCUGUUCUAAGAUGUAAUGUUGCAAAGGGAGCAAAUGUUCCUGCAUUUCCUGUAAAGAAAAUAUCGAUACCACAGUUGCGGUGAGUCAUUAGACCAAUCAAAAUGAUAGAUCAUUAUUAUUAUUUUUUUCGGAAGUAUUACCUUAUCCCAGUUGCAGUACAAAGGCGAGGUGUUGCCGUUGUCGUAAUCGAAAUCGAAACCGGUACCACCAGCGGUAUUAUGAUUGCUGUAAUUCUUGGACUUUUUCCCAUGUUUUGCAUUGUGCGAUGAUGAAUUAUUCGAAGCAACGGUAUGAGUGGAACCGGACGACUUUUUCUCCAAUGUUUGUUGUGGAUCGAGCUGUCUAUUGUGCCGGUCGAGAUUGGACUGGUUCAGAUUCAACGAAAAAUGAUCCUUGCCCGCACUGCCCUUGGAAGUGCUACCACUGUUGGUUUGAUCCGCAGGAUGACUAGAGGACGAGGAUGCCGGAAUGUUGGGUGGAUAAGGAGACUGUUUACCACCCACAGACACCGCACCUGGUGAUAUUUUACCAGCACGAUCUUGCUUCAUCUUUUCUUGAUAUUUAUCUGCUUUUCCCUUCAAACCAUCCACACUGUAUGGUUCGCUAGGAUGAUCACCUGUGGUAUUGCUGCUAUUGGUAUUACUAUUUUUAUGACUAGAUUUGUUGCUGCCGUUGUUUUGGUAACUGCUACCGGGAGAUAGCUCCACCGACAAAGCUGAUGGUCGCUGCACUUUUACUUGUUGCUGCUGUUGAGGACUAAUUGGACUCUGGGGACUAGAAUCGCUUGAUUGCUUUUGUUGCUGCAAGGGCGAUUUUGAGGACGUGGUGUGGCGCCUUCGCGUGAUCGGUGUGUUUUCAACAGAUUUGAAAUAUUUUUCAUGCAUUGAAUCAUCGCUUCCCCCUCCUCCACCACCCGCUGCUGUUCCGGAACCACCAACAUUUCCUCCUGCUCCGGAGCCGGGUACAUUACCACUUCCACCAUUUCCGUCAAAGCUACCUUUCCGAUGAGAUCCACUGGAAGAAUGAUGACUUCCUCCGCUGCCGGAAGGACCAUACGGUCGGGAAGAAAUUGGAGUACCAAGAACACCGCCCACACCACUAGUAAUUCCCGCAGAUGACAGGAAACUACCCGAUCUUAUUCUAUUUGAGCAAAACCAUCCAGUUCAGCCGCAGGGAACUAUUACUUACUGCCUACAUAAUCGAAGCUUUCGUGCUUGGAUACCAUGCCCCCAGCAAGGUUACCAUCUUUCGAGGUUGAUUUUGAAGAGGAACCCCCAACACCACCGUCAUGCAUGAACUUCUUUUUGAACUGUGGCGUGCUCAACGAGUGUGAUGGUGACGAUAGGCUGCCGGCAGCAAGAUCUGAUGAGUUUGAGAUCGAAUACGACAGCAUUUGGUGCGGUGGCGGCAGUGCUGACGAAUGAUGUAAUGCUCCAAGGGCUAACUUUUCACUGCUGCUUACUGCAGACACAGCUGCAGUAGAUGAUGAAGGCGAGGGAACUACCACAGAAUGCGGAAUGUUGUGCGAACUGGAACUUUCCUGCAGCAUACGAUAGCUAGCAAAAUAAUACACAAAAAUACAUGAUUUUUAUUAAUACAUGAAGCGGAUUAUCAUAAAUGGGAUCUUUUGCGUAUUAACGAUCACAAAAACCAAAUAUCACCACCAUUUAGUUUGCUUUCCUUCUAUGUGAGAUGAUGCUGGAUGAAUAUAGUGAAAUUAAUUUUGGACUUGUUUUCUGUUAUAUUUUAGUCAUAUAGAAUUCGUGAAUGUGUCAACUGCCAAUAGAGACGUGCAGACACUACAAACACACACACAAAAUACAUAUACUACUACGGGUGACAAUGAUAGCGGAUGCAGGAUUUAUUCUGGGAUCACACACACGCACGCUACUAUACAUACUACACACCACCAUGCACACCACCACCUCCCUCGCCCGAGUACGUAUCUAGUUGAUCGCGUUCCAUGCACUUACCCGCUACUACUGUCAGGAUUGUGUUUUCUACUACCCGUACCACCGGUGCUAUGGCCAUUCGUUGCAUAACCACUGGAACCACUGCCAUACCGCAGCAAACUGCUUCCCGUUGCUUCAGGAACGCUGCCCACAACGCCUCCGUGUAAUCGCCGGUAGCUUCCGGACAGGCUACCCCCCUCAGGCGACUUGAGUGAGCUAUCGGGAUGAUGAUGGUGGUGAAAACGUUGGUGGUGUUGCUGCGAUGCGUGAAGAUGGCUAUGUUGAUAACUGGCCGGAUAGCGCUGACUGCCACGAACCGAUCCAGAAGAUGUCACAGACAUGCCACCGUGUCUGCAAAAUUUGUGUGAAUCCAAUCGACUAAUCGAAGAGUGGCUGCUACCAUCAGCCAACGGGGAGGUUAAGAUUUUCGGUGGUAAUCUGAUGUCACCAACCAACACAAAACAAUCAACCCCAUUACAACACCCCCCAGAUGUGUGCGUUUUAAACGGCCAGAGAGUGGAUGGUAUACCCGCAAGAAGUGUGUGGUUCACAGCAUUGUUUUUAAGGGAAAUUAAGUGGUGGCAGUGUGAAAGAGUUGCAUGACAAGGACGAGUAGGAAGUUCGGGAAAAUCAGGUGUGCCAGUAAGCAAGCCAAAUGCCAUUCAAAAGGAUAUGCACAAAACAGACAGACAGAAAGACACACAUACACACAAACAAAAUUACGGUACGAUGGAAAGCAUUGGAGUUGAAAACGGUGAUAAAUUAAACAACAAAUUUUGUUGUUUUCCGUAGAGCCAAAUACCGAAUAGUCCGAACGAAGAUUAGGGUGCAGGGAUAAAAAAUAAUUUUUUUGGGCAAAAUUAUGUUCACACACGACACGACAUAAUUACGGUAUUACGAGGAAUAUUUCAUUGGGUUUACAAAAGGGAAACAAUAGCAACAACAUAAUAUUUUCAAAUCAAGAUACCACAAACCAAUACAAAACAUUAAAAAAACAAACAUUUAAUUUAUGUAACAAAAAUAUUACGAAAUCAAAAGUCGUCGUCGUCAUGCCAGAAGACAGUAGGAACAAAACGAUGCGAAAAGUAGAUGUACGAAGACGAGGAAGAGAUAUCGCAAGCGAAGAAAAAAGAAGCAUCCGAAAAAUGUUGAAAAGAAAGAGAAAAAAAAGGAAGAGAAAAACAACAAUUCAAAACACAGAACAGAAAACAGAACAACAUUAAGGCACUUAAAACAAAGAAUAAAUAAAAACUAAUCGACUUUGUUCUAAUAGAUAUCGACCUAAAUAACUGCUGUAGCGUACGUACAUACUCGGCAAAACAAAAUUUUGAUAAAAUGGGACAAACGUACUAUUACAGAUUUAGGAAUAUAACAAAAGGCUAGCAAAAUUUGGAAACGGAAAUAAUUAAUUUACACAUUGCUGAUUGCAACAGCAACAGUAAGCAUACGUAGAACUGCGUAGAAUCGUUCUUUGUCGUUUGUGGUCGCAUUGCAAAACGGGAUUCUAGUGGAAGUAUAGUAAAAAAAGGCGUAUCAUACUCGUGUGGUUCCGAUGAGACUUACCUAUGCUGAAGGCUGUGUCUUCCCUGUGGACUGGCCAGAAGCUCACUGUUACUGCGUUGAUCCAAUCCGCCACCGCCGCCACGACGGUGGCCAGAGCUGGAGCUACGAUGGUGAUGAUCUCUGUCACGGUAAUCCGUGACGCCUGUCGCCGUUCGAUGUCCACAAGAUUUUCCCACCGUACCACUGCCACCCAAUUUCGAUGCUCCACCGAGUGAACCUAGACCACCGAUACCACCUGCGGUGCUUCCACUGCUGCCCGUUCCAUGGUGGUGAUGGUGGUGAUGAUGAUGCGGAAGUGUUGCAUCUUUUCGAUCGCUAGGAUCUGUGUUUUGCUUCAGGGUUUGCAGCUUAGCCAGAGGGAUAAUAUCACAGUUCUGUGGCCGAUGCCAAACGGUUUUCUGUGAGGCAACAUUGUAGUAGUAAAAGCGACAGGUAUUUGUGUCAAACAGUUCCCACCACUGCGAUGCAUCCGUACGUUUGAUAGUUACACCCUAAAAGUAAAAAGAAACAUAAAAUGUUAUAGAAAAAAAAUUCUCACAAAAACACAUUUUUGCAUUAAAAUGCUUCAAGUUAUGAUUGCAUUGUUGUUAAACCUUAAAUAUCUCAAAUAGAAUUAAAAUAUAUUUUUUAUUCAUAUAAUAAUCCUUUAUUCUACAAAGGACUGUCAAUAAGUUAAUGUAGUCAUCCAUAGUAGAAAAUACAUAAUAUCUUAUCAUUGGCACCUAAUAGAAACCAUAAUAACAGUUUGGGUAAACGAUUGCAGCAUAGUUUUUUUUAUUGAUACUGACUAUUACACAUUAUCACACAUCAAUUUCAUCAGUCGCAAUACUUUCGUGUUAUAGCUUGCAAGUGAGAGUAUGAGAAUAUCACUAUCACAAUUCAUCUAUUAGAUAACUCAGUUACUACAGUGUAAUUACCGUUGAGAUCAAUCAGCUUAUAUGCAACGCUGGAUCUCUCAACAAAAAUCAUUGCUUCUCGACAUAAUUGAUAAUGAAAUUUAUUUUUUAUGAAAAUCGCACACCACAGCAACUCAUAUGCUUUAGGCUAUUCUUUAUCUCAUCAUAUAUGAUGUACUCCCAAUGCUAAACAAUACAGAGAUAAUGGAAUGGAUAAUGGAGAAAAUUUUAGGUAAUUUAAGUAAUUUUAUAAAUCUUUUUGGACUAUUUAAAAAUCUUUAACUAACCGUAAUGCCGCGAAGAACGAUUGCUGUACCUUUAAAUAUCUAUAAAUGAGACUGAUCACCAUGAAUAAAAAAAAA